rnacentral:rRNA from 1 species
AUACGGGGGGUGCAAGCGUUAAUCGGAAUUACUGGGCGUAAAGCGCGCGUAGGCGGUUUGCUCAGUCGGAUGUGAAAGCCCAGGGCUCAACCUUGGAACUGCAUACGAUACUGGCAAACUAGAGUGUGAGAGAGGAUAGUGGAAUUUCCGGUGUAGCAGUGAAAUGCGUAGAUAUCGGAAGGAACAUCAGUGGCGAAGGCGACUGUCUGGCUCAACACUGACGCUGAGGUGCGAAAGCGUGGGUAGCAAACAGGAUUAGAUACCCUAGUAGUCC